AUGCACAUUAAAGUGCAUAAUGACACGUACAAAAGAAAGGAUGCUGAAUCCCUUUCUCUUUUUAAGCAUUCAAACUUAAAUCUUUCCCAUUUUGCCAUAAUAACAAACGUACCACAUCAUUAUUUUCUCUCUAGCUAAUUAUUUUGUUGUUUCAAUAUGCAAGGAAGCAACAACGUGACUUCCAUUUAUAUGGAAACAACGCAGUUUUGAAUUGAUAGAGCACCAAUGUGACUUGGUAUUUUACGGAAGAAAAAUGUAUUUUUUUUCUCUCAAGAACAAUAUUCGAAUUUUGCUCACUGCUUCGAUCUCGUUAUUCCGUCUUAUCGUGUUGUUGAAUUCGGGCUUUUUUCGUAGUGAAGUAAGGUGGAAGAAGAUUAUUUCUUGGAAUAUAAGACCUGCGAGCUCGAGAAGUAGACGUUGGACAUUAGAUAGAGUUCAAGGUAGACAAGGAGGUGAGCUUGAUCCAGAUUCUUAGUAGCUAUCAGCUGAUUGAGAGCACUCCAUUGUUCGGAGGUGCUUAUGAUCCUUCUUUUGGUAUAUAUGCAUAUUUUGGGCACAACGGGAGUCUUGUUCCGUCUAUAUGUUUAGUAUGUCAGUAGAGGCUCGUAGAUACGCAGUGUGGGUCAGAUGGUCUCACAAGAUGUUAUUAUUAUGUAUAUAUUAUUUUGGUGGCCGAGAGGCAAAAGUGGUAUAAGUAUUUAUGUUUCUAUAUAAAAUAUAAUUUUCCUACAAUUCGUGUAUAAAAUUGGUAAAAGAGCAUUAAAUGAGUAAGAUGAGUAUUAGAGCGAGUGGUGCUCGGUGGCUAGCCCCGGGUACCCGUCACGGUCCCUAGCUGGGUC